UAUAUUUUCUGUCCUCAUUUCUUUUCUCUUUAUUUUUUUACUUCUUUCUUGGAGCUGGGUCGAGAAAUCCAAAGAAAUUGGCGAAAGAGAAUUCGGGGUCGACGGCAUGCUUAAAUUCGAAAGCUCGUUCUUCUUUUUUCUUCUUUAUUUUCUUCUCUUGUUCUUUCUUUGUUUUCAUUUUUUUUUCUUAUCUAAAACUGUAGGACCACAGGGGAAAUAGCGACAGACAUUAAACGCUGGGAGAGAGAUGAAGGCUUGGUUUUAAAGUGGGUAAAGGGAAGAUAGAAUCAGAGGAUGGUGAGCAUGAUUUUAGGGUUUCGGGGAUCCGAAUUGGGGAUUUAGAUGAAACCUGAAAAAGGGGCUAGAGAAGGAAGGAUAGAGACACCUAAUCAAGCAUUUUGAGAAACCUAAGGGUGAAAGAGAGGACUGAGAAAGUCACGGUGUUCGGUGGGAGAGUGCAGGAAUCAAAAUCCAGGGUGCUGCCACCAUUAUGAUCAACUACAUUGAUGAAAUCCAAGCUCAAGGAAGGAUUUUGAUGCAGAGAGAGAAAAAAGAAUUAGAAGAUUUUAAAAGGUAAUUGGAGACACAAUAGAAGUUAAAGCAGUGCAGAGAUCGUCUAACAUAAAUGGCUGUUAUGGAAUCCCUUGGGUUAAUUAUAAGGGUUGGCAAUGAGAUUUGUACAUUUUGGUAAGAUACAAUUUGUAGUUUCCUAUAUCAGUAUAUAUUGAUUUGCUCUUUAUUGUCUAGAGCAAAACAAUUUAUUUCAGGUCAUGGACAUACUUGGCCCAAUCUUUGGGAUGUAUGGAAUUCUCUAGCCAAUCAUAAGAUUCAGAUUCUUCCUUGUUA